AUCUGGCUGAUGAAUCCAAAUAUAGGACGAAACUCGUGUCCUGAAU
rnacentral:hammerhead_ribozyme from 1 species